rnacentral:rRNA from 1 species
UACGUAGGGUGCAAGCGUUGUCCGGAAUUAUUGGGCGUAAAGGGCUCGUAGGCGGUCCGUCACGUCGGGAGUGAAAUCCUGGGGCUUAACCCCAGAACUGCUUCCGAUACGGGCAGACUAGAGGUAGGUAGGGGAGAAUGGAAUUCCUGGUGUAGCGGUGGAAUGCGCAGAUAUCAGGAGGAACACCGGUGGUGUAAACGGCUUUCUGGACCAUAACUGACGCUGAGGCACGAAAGCGUGGGUAGCAAACAGG